AAUUCACAGGUCAGCUUUGAACAGCCACGAAGACAACAUCGCAUCAUUGUGAAUGUGACAAACAAUGAUUUUCAUACACCUGAUCGCCGUCUCUCUGGUCUCUCCGGGAAAAGUUCCGAUCGUUGUGAUAGCUGGUGCUUUCACUCUCCUUCUCCUUGUGGCUUCGUGUUUCGGAGUAAUAAAUCUUCGUAACAAAUCAAGAACCACAACUGUUAAUAAGGGUAACUCUGAAGAUGAAGUGGUCUACACAGAUGUUACAGUGAUAAGAAAUAUGAAGAAAACCUGACCUAACUCACGUCACAAAGUACUGUAAUUUUGUCCACAGUCAUUAAGUUUCAGCCAGUAAAAAAGGGACAAAAAAAUCAAAUGAUUUUCUAUCUGUAAAUGUUUCUUAAGUGUGAUUUAGGAUACUAUUUCUCAAAUCUAUAAUAUACUGAACUACGGAUCAUACACACAGUUAAGAGAAUAGUUUCUCUUCAUUUAUAAAAUCAAUUUUAAAAUUGCAAAUUUGUUUUUAUAGGCAUCUAUGCAUUUGCCAUAAAUAUAAUUUAUUUAUGGCAAAUGCAUUUAUUUAUUAUUUAUUUAUGGUUAUGCGAUUUUAUUUUCUGUUACUUGCCUUGUAAUUGUCUGACAUUGUUGACAAUUUGUGAAACAUUUUUAAGUGUUUUGUCUUUCGACUUUUCCUUGUAUUUUUCAACUAUACAUAGUGAUCAUGUUUGUUUUCAUACAAACCAAAAGACUAAGGUCAAAAAGAAUACAAAGAAGAUAACUCUGUUUCAGGUUACCAUACAACUGAUAAAACAAGUAGUAUGCUUUAUAUGUUGCUUUAUAUGCUUUUGGCCUGUGGUUGUAAUUAGUAAUUGGCCAAUAUUGAUAGAUAAGUGUGACUCAUGGGUGACAUCUAAAGGAUACCCACUGUUCUUGCACUUACUGACAGGAAGAGGCUGGUAAAAGCUGUAAGCAUGUAGUGAUCAUUUCUGACCACAAAACGGAGCUAAAACUCCUCUCCUGUAAUUACAUGAUGGUCAUGAGACAAUACACGUUUAAUCUGUCAUUCAUUAUAUUUACACUUUAGUACUGUUAAAUCCUGGAUUAAGGCAUUAAGGUAUAGCACUGUUUCCAACCCAACUGUAAAUUCAUGUCAGAGCAGGGGUGCCGACAAAUUUCAGAAAAAAAACACACACACAAAAAAAAAACACAAGGUCUUGCAACAUAACAUUAUGGGGCAAUAUAGUGCAUUGGCCAAACAAAUCUAAUUUGAGCAAGCACACAUUGGUGUUAGAUCUCCUUUUAACAGCAUGGUGUUAGAUCUCAGACAGCAUAACUCCACUCAACUUCUUGUCUCAUUGUAUUACAAACUACUGUGCAGUGUUUUAGCAUGUGAUAAAUCACACAUCAAUAUUGUCUUCCAGGAUCGUAUUUCAUCUUCUGAGGGCUGCCUGUAGCUAUACACCCACCCCAAUGUAGCCAGUGUAUUUGUUUUUGUGUGUCUCAAACAUUACUGGUAAUUAGACCUAAUGACAUAGAUAAAGUCAUGCAUCAAGCGUCAAGACAAGGCUAAAAUGAAAGCUUGAUUUGUUAGUCUCCACUGUGCAGAUUCUACUGCCGGACGCAUCAGUUUACCACAGCAGGACCACAUCUCACAUCUCACUUUCUAUUUUUGCCAUCUUGUUUUUCGAUCAUGUAUUUUUUCUUAGCAGUCCCUGAAGCAAACUUAUCGGAAGGAAAAAACCUGUGGUUUUUAACUGACGCACUACUAAAUGAUGUGCAUGUGUUCACAGUCAGGCUUGCAAACCAACCUUGCCCCUUCGAAAUUAUAUUUAUAUCCUACUCAUCUGCAACUUCAAAUACUUUUCAAUGAAACAAUGCACAUUACAUUUUCUAUUAAUACAAUGAUGAAAUGCAAUGUAAUUAAUAUAUUUGCCAAGUUGAAAAAUGUUGGUAAUGAACACAUUGGCAAAAU